GCCCGGCUGGCUCAGUUGGUAGAGUAUGUGACUCUUGAUCUUGAGGUUGUGAGUUCAAGCCCCAUGCUGGGUA
rnacentral:tRNA from 1 species